UACGUAGGGUGCAAGCGUUGUCCGGAAUUAUUGGGCGUAAAGAGCUCGUAGGCGGUUUGUCGCGUCGGCCGUGAAAUCUCCACGCUUAACGUGGAGCGUGCGGUCGAUACGGGCAGACUAGAGUGCGGUAGGGGAGACUGGAAUUCCUGGUGUAGCGGUGAAAUGCGCAGAUAUCAGGAGGAACACCGGUGGCGAAGGCGGGUCUCUGGGCCGUAACUGACGCUGAGGAGCGGAAAGCCAGGGGAGGCAAACACGGG
rnacentral:rRNA from 1 species